rnacentral:tRNA from 2 species
ACCAGGAUGGCCGAGUGGUUAAGGCGUUGGACUUAAGUUCCAAUGUACGAAUGUACGCGUGGGUUCGAACCCCACUCAUGGUA